GAUGAACGCUGGCGGCGUGCCUAAUACAUGCAAGUCGAGCGAACAGACGAGGCGCUUGCUCCUCUGACGUUAGCGACGGACGGGUGAGUAACACGUUGAUAACCUCCCUAUAAUACUGUGAUAACUGCGGGAAACCGGAGCUAAUACCGGAUAAUAUAUUGAACCGCAUGGUUCAAUAGUGAAAUCCGCUUUUGCUGUCACUUAUAGAUGGAUCCGCGCCGCAUUAGCUAGUUUGUAUGGUAACGGCGUACCAAGGCAACGAUGCGUAGACGACCUGAGAGAGUGGUAGGCCACACGGGAAGUUGAACGCGGUCAAGACGCCUACGGGAGGCAGCAGUAGGGAAUCGGCCGCAGUAGGCGAGAGCCUGACGGAGCAACGCGGCGUGAGUGAUGAAGGUCUUCGGAUCGUAAAACUCUGUUAUUAGGGAAGAACAAAUGUGUAAGUAACUGUGCACGUAGUGACGGUACCGAAUCAGAAAGCAACGGCUAACUACGUG
rnacentral:rRNA from 1 species